rnacentral:rRNA from 1 species
UACGGGGGGGGCAAGCGUUGCUCGGAAUCACUGGGCGUAAAGGGUGCGUAGGCGGGUUUUUAAGUCAGGGGUGAAAUCCUGGAGCUCAACUCCAGAACUGCCUUUGAUACUGAAGAUCUUGAGUCCGGUAGAGGUGAGUGGAACUGCGAGUGUAGAGGUGAAAUUCGUAGAUAUUCGCAAGAACACCAGUGGCGAAGGCGGCUCACUGGCCCGGUACUGACGCUGAGGCACGAAAGCGUGGGGAGCAAACAGG